AAUGUCUGGGAAACUGCCUGAUGGAGGGGGAGUAACUACUGGAAACGGUAGCUAAUACCGCAUAAUGUCGCAAGACCAAAGUGGGGGACCUUCGGGCCUCAUGCCAUCAGAUGUGCCCAGAUGGGAUUAGCUAGUAGGUGGGGUAAUGUCUCACCUAGGCGACGAUCCCUAGCUGGUCUGAGAGGAUGAUCAGCCACACUGGAACUGAGACACGGUCCAG
rnacentral:rRNA from 1 species